rnacentral:rRNA from 1 species
AACGAACGCUGGCGGCAUGCCUAACACAUGCAAGUCGAACGAGACCUUCGGGUCUAGUGGCGCACGGGUGCGUAACGCGUGGGAACCUGCCCUUAGGUUCGGAAUAACUCCCCGAAUGGGGUGCUAAUACCGGUUAAUGUCUUCUGACCAAAGAUUUAUCGCCUUUGGAUGGGCCCGCGUUGGAUUAGCUUGUUGGUAGGGUAAAAGCCUACCAAGGCGAGGAUCCAUAGCUGGUCUGAGAGGAUGAUAAGCCACACUGGGACUGAGACACGGCCCAGAAUACUACGGGAGGAAGCAGAGGGGAAGAUAGGAAAAGGGGCGAAAGCCUGAUCAAGCAAGGCGGCGUGAGUGAUGAAGGCCUUAGGGAAGUAAAGCUCUUUUAAACGGGAUGAUAAUGACAGUACCGGGAGAAUAAGCACCGGCUAACUACGUG